rnacentral:rRNA from 1 species
GGACGAACGCUGGCGGCGUGCCUAACACAUGCAAGUCGAACGGAGCUGUCCUUCGGGGACAACUUAGUGGCGAACGGGUGAGUAACGCGUGAGGAACCUGCCUUUCAGUGGGGGACAACAGUUGGAAACGACUGCUAAUACCGCAUAACAUGUACGGAUCGCAUGGUCUGUACAUCAAAGCUUUAUGUGCUGAAAGAUGGCCUCGCGUCUGAUUAGCUAGUUGGUAGGGUAACGGGCCUACCAAGGCGACGAUCAGUAGCCGGUCUGAGAGGAUGAACGGCCACAUUGGGACUGAGAUACGGCCCAGACUCCUACGGGAGGCAGCAGUGGGGAAUAUUGGGCAAUGGGCGAAAGCCUGACCCAGCAACGCCGCGUGAAGGAAGAAGGCCUUCGGGUUGUAAACUUCUUUUACCAGGGACGAAGAACGUGACGGUACCUGGAGAAAAAGCAACGGCUAACUACGUG